UUCAACGUGAGAGUUUGAUCCUGGCUCAGAGCGAACGCUGGCGGCAGGCUUAACACAUGCAAGUCGAGCGGGCCCUUCGGGGUCAGCGGCGGACGGGUGAGUAACGCGUGGGAACGUGCCUUCUGGUUCGGAAUAACCCUGGGAAACUAGGGCUAAUACCGGAUACGCCCUUUUGGGGAAAGGUUUACUGCCGGAAGAUCGGCCCGCGUCUGAUUAGCUAGUUGGUGGGGUAACGGCCU
rnacentral:rRNA from 1 species